rnacentral:lncRNA from 1 species
GCUUUCUACGGCCAGGGCCUGGGCCGGGUGGGAGGAGCCGGACACAGAGCUGGAGGCUAAGGGAGCGUUCGGGCGUGCAGACUCAGGGCUCAGCCUUCCGAGCACCACCUUUCUUCACUUCCCAGGUGAAUGCUGUCCUGCGGCCGCCCUGACGGAAAACUUACAAGGACUGCAGCUGGGGGAUUGGCUUAGGCGUUCUCACAAGUCUCAGAUCAUGAAAGCGCCUCGCUCCAUUCUUAAGAUUUUGUGCCUGGAGAAGAUACCCAGCCAUCUUCAUUCCGUUCUCCUCCCUCGACCUGACGCGUUUAUGUGAAAACAAGGCCAGCGCGUGGAAUCAUGGAACCUGAGUACACGGGCUCCUCACACCGGCCAGAAUUGCUCCUCUCAGGGCUGAACAAUAAACUGCACUGGGUUCUCGUAUAAAUGCUCCAAACUCCGCGUAUGUGUGUGUUUCUGUGUGUGUGUUAACUUUGGAGCUUAUUAAAAUCUACAAAUACAGACCGGCUCCUCUAAAAAAGUGUGGCUGUAGUUACCAAGCUUUCCACUUGAGGGAACCAAAGGGCUACAUCUGAAAGAAAGUUGAGGCGGGAAAAACUUCCAGAGCUUUUCCAGAAGUCUUUUCUGAGGAGAAAUGAAAUCUGAGGGGUGUGUGCCCGUAACCAAAUCAGUGUAACUGCUGGAGGCUUCGUCUCAGCCUCUAUUUGGUAUCAUCCACGCCGCCUCUCUUGCUCUUUUGUUUUGACUGGAAAUGCUGAAGUAGCGGAGGACAGCUGUGAACUGACAUCUUGUCUACCCCAUUGUGGGAUGCGGUGACGGGAGAAACAAAGCUCCCCGGGCUUUGCACCCACUCCAUGCGGCCUCCAUGGGUGGCUUCCCCAGACUUCCCGUCUCCCAUCUUCCAGUGUGGAUGGAGAGAGAGGAGCAGAGAGGCAGCAGAAUGUCCAGAGCCUUACAUGAGGGGGAUCAAGUCUUUCCCUUGAGGAGCUGAUAAUCUGGCUGAAGACAGAUGCACUAACCCGCCCACAUGUAACCUUGGAAUCUGAGAUACAGC